UCAGAGACGCUGCCCCUGGUCGUCCGUAACGAUGGCAUCAUACCUCUCAAGUUUAUGUUGCGCCCAAAGGAUGAGCAUGGAGCGUUCUUCUUGAAAGGCAGGGCCUCCACACUCGAGGUAUUCCACACUGAAGAUAUGGAAGACGACUCCAUUGAAAACGAGAGCAAUCCCCCAAAGAAGUCGUUCUUCCUUC